rnacentral:lncRNA from 1 species
AGGAAUAUAAAAGUCCUACAUGAAUGUGAAGAGUCAACUAAAUCAACUAAAAAAAUGAAGGAUCCAGGAAGCCUACCUAGACAACAAUUGAUUCCUUGAAUUCAGAGAGCCUUCAUUCCAAUUGUUGCAGUGAGCUCCCAGCUCAGCGAGAAAGAGUAAGAGGAGAAGGUACCAUUCUCAUUCUGGUUCCAAGAGAAUGGUGGAGGCUUUGGUUUGAGGCUCUCAGGCCAGAAAGCUAAGCUUGGGGAACUGCAUUGAUAUGAAACCACCUGAAAAUGAGGCACCACCCAAUUUGGAACUAGGUAAUUUUCUUCUAUUUGGACUUUGAAGAACCCCUUCCUUUUGUCUUAUUUAAAAAUUUUUUU